AAUAAUAGAGUUAUCUUCUUCCCAUAAAUAAUACAAUCUUUGAAAUCAAAUCGUUGGUUCGAUAGCUGGUAAUUUAUUUAUAUCGUCAAGUAUAUUAUUAACAUGUUAAGUAGGUUUGUAUCCUAAGUCUUUUCAUCCAUACAUCAAACCUCUAUCCAUAUUUUGCUAACAAUAUUAUCCUGAUAAUACAUUAUCUGCUAACUAUUCUGAUGCAUGUAUUUUUUCUACAUGAUUAUUCAAUCGCAAAUCAACUUUUUUGCUCUUCAUGCUAAAUAUUUUGUUACCUUUUAAUAAUAAUGUUAUCGUCUUCGCAUAUAUAUCAGUCUUUGAAAUCUAAUCAUUGGUUCAAUAACUGAGAAUUUGUUUAUAGUCAAAUAUAUUAUUAACAUAGUAAGUUGGUUUGUACCCCAUGUCAUUUCAUCCAUACAUCAAACUCUAUCCAUAUUUCGCUAACGAUAUUAUCUCGAUAAUGCAUUAUCUGCUUAACUAUCCUGAUUUUUAUCAUAUCUCCUUAUAGGGAUAUAUUUGUCAUAUAGAUUCUAGAUGAAAAAAUUACCGAAAUAAAUGGUUUUCAUGUGUAGAUUCUUAAUUAUUUGUUGUGCAUGUAUAAAUUUUUAAUUCACCCAAAAGUUAAUUAUACUGUGAGGGCCAUCAUAUAUAUAUAUAUAUAUAUAUAUAUAUAUAUAUUUUUUUU
rnacentral:sRNA from 1 species